rnacentral:rRNA from 1 species
UUGAUCCUGGCUCAAGAUGAACGCUGGCGGCGUGCUUAACACAUGCAAGUCGAUCGAAGCACCUGAGAAUGAUUCUUCGGAUGAAGUCUCUUGUGACUGAGUGGCGGACGGGUGAGUAACGCGUGGGUAACCUGCCUCACACAGGGGGAUAACAGUUGGAAACGACCGCUAAUACCGCAUAAGCCGCCGGUGCCGCAUGGCACUGACGGAAAAGAUUUUAUCGGUGUGAGAUGGACCCGCGUCUGAUUAGCCAGUUGGCAGGGUAACGGCCUACCAAAGCGACGAUCAGUAGCCGGCCUGAGAGGGUGAACGGCCACAUUGGGACUGAGACACGGCCCAGACUCCUGCGGGAGGCAGCAGUGGGGAAUAUUGCACAAUGGGGGAAACCCUGAUGCAGCGACGCCGCGUGAGUGAAGAAGUAUUUCGGUAUGUAAAGCUCUAUCAGCAGGGAAGAAAAUGACGGUACCUGAUUAAGAAGCCCCGGCUAACUACGUGCCAGCAGCCGCGGUAAUACGUAGGGGGCAAGCGUUAUCCGGAUUUACUGGGUGUAAAGGGAGCGUAGACGGUGAUGCAAGUCAGAAGUGAAAGCCCGGGGCUCAACUCCGGGACUGCUUUUGAAACUGUGUGACUGGAGUGCANGANAGGUAAGCGGAAUUCCUGGUGUAGCGGUGAAAUGCGUANAUAUCANGGAGAACACCAG